rnacentral:lncRNA from 1 species
CCUAAUAUCAAGCAAUAUCAAGCACUCAAAACACUCAAGGUGGACUCCCUUGACUACUCUCCCCACUUCGGCCUCGUCCACUUCGGCCCCGUCCACCUCUUCCCCGUCCACCACGUCUAGUGUGCCCUUGCAACUCCUACAAUCAAAUAUAAAUACAAUUAAAACUUAAUAACUAAAAUUAAUAAAUUUUAGGGUUUAACUGUAAUAGUAAUUAAUAAUUACUUACCAAGGCCUCUAAUGUGCUUGUCAGCUCAACAACCCUAGAAGCACUUAUUGCGAGUUCUUCUUCAGCCCUUGUUGUGGCAGUCCUUUGCUCUUGCAACCAACCAUAAUAUCUCCCAGAAGAAUCAAAUGCUGCAUGCCGCAUCCCUUGACCAAACAUUACAGCAUCUGCUAAGCGUGACCGGAGAGCAGCCUGUAUUCACAAGAAUUCCCUUAGUUAUAAAU